UACGUAGGUGGCAAGCGUUGUCCGGAUUUAUUGGGUUUAAAGGAUGCGUAGGCGGUUCCAUAAGUCAAUAGUGAAAUACAAUAGCUUAACUAUUGAAGUACCAUUGAUACUGCGGAACUUGAAUACAGACGAAAUAAGCGGAAUUGACGGUGUAGCGGUGAAAUGCUUAGAUAUCGUCAAGAACACCGAUAGCGAAGGCAGCUUACUAGACUGUAACUGACGCUGAUGCACGAAAGUGUGGGGAUCAAACAGG
rnacentral:rRNA from 1 species